AUAACCUUUAACCUAGUCCAGAGAGACUAAGAAGGCAUUGAAUCGUAUACAGGGGUAAAACUACCUUUGUAGAACAGUAGUUUGGCUACUGUUAAAAACGCUUAUGCCCUCGCAUAGGCGUUUUUUUUU
rfam:Brochothrix campestris FSL F6-1037 c41, whole genome shotgun sequence.